GCGCGUCAAAUUUUGUACACAGGGCCACUCGAACGAUAGUUUCCAUUAUCGGAAACUUAAAGUACAAGGUCUGAAAGAAGCGUCGCGAAAAUGCCGCUCACGGUUACGGUCAUAACGGAAAAGGGAUUGAGAUUUGAGCUUGAAGUGGAGAGCGAUGAUACUGUUGAGAGUUUAAAGCUUCGAAUAAAGGAGAAAGAAGGAGUUCCCCCCGAUCAACAGAGAAUUAUUUUUCAAGGCAGAGAGCUGACGGGUGGUCACUGUCUCAGUGACUAUAAUAUCCAACACAGGUCCAUUGUAAAUGUAACUCUAAGACUGAGAGGAGGAUGGCUACCUGAGAAAGGUGAUAAAACCCGGAGCAGGGAAGAGCUGUCUAACUUUUAAGUAAUUUUAACAACACAGCAGAACAACAUCUCAGUGACACCAAGGCCCAGGUUGCUCAAGCGCCACUGAGGAGUAAUUUUAGCAUGACAAGGAAUCCUCAACCAAAAGCACAGAAGAAGUCCUCCAAUGAGUCUGUGAGGAAACAUCUGCUCAGUGGUGACGGGAGAAAAGUUUUUAAGACGGAGACCUGAGAGAAUGUGUUGUACUCAUCCCCCUGCACUGAAGAUGACAACACAAAAUCCAAUUUCUACAGUUUUUGUUUUGAUACUAUAUUAUGAAUUGUAGUUCCUAUAAAUAAGCAGUUGCCAUGCUACUUUUAAACCAGUUCAGCUAGGCGGAUAGCACACAGCGUGAUGAGCCAGUGACACUUUCAGCAUUGGCAGCAGUAAAACUUUAAACUCGUUAAAUUCUUGAAACAAGUUCAUCCUCCUCACCACGUAAAGAACUGUUUAAUUUGCACUCUGAUGGUAAAUAAAGUAGAUGGGUUAAGUCCUUUGGCUACAUAAAGUUACAAAAAUUGAAAAAAAAAAAUUUUGCACCUCUAGUCAGGAGAUGUCAGCACUUGUUAUCAUGGUAGAGUGGCUCAAUGUUUGGUGGUCAAAGUCCAUGUCCAUGAAACAAACCCGUUUCACUAAAAUCACUGUUAGACUAAAAUUAUAUUUUAUUUUUUCAUAUAAUGAUGCUUCUUUAUCUAAACUUGUGUGUCAAACUUUGGUUGUUUGUUUUUAAAAAAGAGGGAUCUUUGACUGGUUAUUAUUUUGACUUUCAAAGCAGAGAUAAAAAUUCCCACCGUA